ensembl:rRNA 5S_rRNA 5S ribosomal RNA
GUCUAUGGCCAUACCACUGUAAAUGUGCCCAAUCUCAUCUGGUCUCAAAAGCUAAGCAGGGUAGAGCCUGAUUAGUACUUGGAUGAAAGACAAAUCUUCAAAAGAGACUGCUCAGAGACA